AUGCACAACAUUGUGCAUAUUGACGAAAAGUGGUUCUAUAUGACAAAAAUGAACAGAUGCUACUACCUCCUCCCCGAGGAAGAUGACCCGGUCAGAACUAUUCGGAACAAAAACUGUAUUGGGGAAGUGAUGUUUCUGACCGCUGUUGCUCGACCUAGAUAUGAUGCUGAAGGCAAUAUGACAUUCUCAGGUAAAAUUGGUGUCUGGCCCUUUGUGCAAGAGAUUCCUGCUACUAGAAGAAGUGAGUAUAGAGCAAGAGGGACCAUUGAAAUCAAGUCUGCCAACGUGAACCGACGGGUAAUGAGGAGGUAUAUGAUAGAAAAAGUGGUUCCUGGAAUAAAGGAAGUCUGGCCCGCAGAUGAUACUAAUCCAAUAUUGAUCCAGCAAGAUAACGCAAGAACGCACAUUCUUCCAGGUGAUGCAGAGUUUGCAGAAGCUGUGGCUACAACUGGUCUGGACAUUAAAAUAAUAAACUAG
rnacentral:rRNA from 1 species